rnacentral:rRNA from 1 species
UACGGGGGGGGCAAGCGUUGUUCGGAAUUACUGGGCGUAAAGCGCACGUAGGCGGAUCUUUAAGUCAGGGGUGAAAUCCCGAGGCUCAACCUCGGAACUGCCUUUGAUACUGGGGAUCUCGAGUCCGGGAGAGGUGAGUGGAACUGCGAGUGUAGAGGUGAAAUUCGUAGAUAUUCGCAAGAACACCAGUGGCGAAGGCGGCUCACUGGCCCGGAACUGACGCUGAGGUGCGAAAGCGUGGGGAGCAAACAGG